GACAGAGGGGGCGAGCGUUGUCCGGAGUCACUGGGCGUAAAGCGCGCGCAGGCGGCAGCCUAAGUGUCGUGUGAAAGCCCCCGGCUCAACCGGGGGAGGCCAUGGCAAACUGGGUCGCUCGAGCUGCGGAGGGGCCCCUCGAAUUGCCGGUGUAGCGGUGAAAUGCGUAGAGAUCGGCAGGAAGACCAAGGGGGAAGCCAGGGGGCUGGCCGCAGGCUGACGCUGAGGUGCGACAGCGUGGGGAGCAAACCGG
rnacentral:rRNA from 1 species